rnacentral:rRNA from 1 species
CGGAACGUGCCCAGUCGUGGGGGAUAACGUAGCGAAAGCUACGCUAAUACCGCAUACGAACUCUGGUUGAAAGCGGGGGAUCGCAAGACCUCGCGCGAUUGGAGCGGCCGAUGGCAGAUUAGGUAGUUGGUGGGGUAAAGGCUCACCAAGCCGACGAUCUGUAGCUGGUCUGAGAGGACGACCAGCCACACUGGGACUGAGACACGGCCCAGACUCCUACGGGAGGCAGCAGUGGGGAAUUUUGGACAAUGGGCGCAAGCCUGAUCCAGCCAUUCCGCGUGCAGGAUGAAGGCCCUCGGGUUGUAAACUGCUUUUGUACGGAACGAAACGGUCUCGGUUAAUACCUGGGGCUAAUGACGGUACCGUAAGAAUAAGCACCGGCUAACUACGUGCCAGCAGCCGCGGUAAUACGUAGGGUGCAAGCGUUAAUCGGAAUUACUGGGCGUAAAGCGUGCGCAGGCGGUGAUGUAAGACAGGUGUGAAAUCCCCGGGCUUAACCUGGGAACUGCAUUUGUGACUGCAUCGCUGGAGUGCGGCAGAGGGGGAUGGAAUUCCGCGU